UACGUAGGGGGCAAGCGUUGUCCGGAUUUAUUGGGCGUAAAGAGCGUGUAGGCGGCUUCACUGGUCCGCUGUGAAAACUCGAGGCUCAACCUCGAGCUGUCGGUGGAAACCGUGUGGCUAGAGUCCGGAAGAGGAGAGUGGAAUUCCCGGUGUAGCGGUGAAAUGCGCAGAUAUCGGGAAGAACACCCGUGGCGAAGGCGGCUCUCUGGGACGGUACUGACGCUGAGACGCGAAAGCGUGGGGAGCGAACAGG
rnacentral:rRNA from 1 species